CCAAAGUGACCUCUAAACUUCAUACAAGUUGUAACCUCCUUCCCUCUGCCCCCUGACCCUCUUAGGGACAGGGAAACUGAGUCAUGACAAGGUGGAGGGCAGCCGAAGAAAAGGACCAGGUGCCUGGCGUCCCGGCUGUUUAGGCAGGAAAACAAAGAUGAAUAAGACAUGGUCUAUGUCCUCAUUCACAGUCUAGCUGGGGAAUUACGUUAACAAAGCUCCAUAUAAAGUGCUAUGGAGCUGAAUUUCUGCCUGGUGAAAUUCAGAGAAGGCACCAUGGAGGAGGCAACAAUGGAGCUGGGCUGUGGAGAAUGACGAAGGGCUCACCAGGCAGAGAAGAGGAGAGGAGUAUUCCAAGCAAAGGCAUCCUGCUCAUUCCAGCCUCCUCCUUUUGCUCCUGCUGCUCCCCUCCAUCAGAAUGCUCUCCUUGACCCUUUCUACCAACCUGAGGCAGGAUGGAG
rnacentral:lncRNA from 1 species